rnacentral:rRNA from 1 species
CCCGCUGAACUUAAGCAUAUCAAUAAGCGGAGGAAAAGAAACUAACAAGGAUUCCCCUAGUAACUGCGAGUGAAGCGGGAAGAGCUCAAAUUUGAAAUCUGGCGUGCCUCUGGUCGUCCGAAUUGUAGUCUGGAGAAGCGUUUUCCGUGUUGGACCGUGUAUAAGUCUCUUGGAACAGGGCGUCAUAGAGGGUGAGAAUCCCGUCUUUGACACGGACUACCAAUGCUUUGUGAUGCGCUCUCAAAGAGUCGAGUUGUUUGGGAAUGCAGCUCAAAAUGGGUGGUAAAUUCCAUCUAAAGCUAAAUAUUGGCCAGAGACCGAUAGCGCACAAGUAGAGUGAUCGAAAGAUGAAAAGCACUUUGAAAAGAGAGUUAAACAGUAUGUGAAAUUGUUGAAAGGGAAGCGCUUGCAACCAGACUUGCGCGCGGUGGUUCCCCCUUCCUUUUGGUUGGGUUAUUCCAUCGUGUCCAGGCCAACAUCGGUUUCGGGGGUCGGUUAAAGGCUCUGGGAAUGUAUCUACCCUUCGGGCGUAGGCUUAUAGCCCAGAGUGUCAUGCGACCUCCCGGGACCGAGGAACGCGCUUCGGCUCGGAUGUUGGCGUAAUGGUUGUCAGCGACCCGUCUUGAAACACGG